UAAUACGUAGGGGGCGAGCGUUAUCCGGAAUCAUUGGGCGUAAAGGGCGCGUAGGCGGAUAUUUAAGUCAGGUGUGAAAACCCAGGGCUCAACCCUGGAUCUGCAUCUGAUACUGGGUAUCUUGAGGACAGGAGAGGAAAGUGGAAUUCCUAGUGUAGCGGUGAAAUGCGUAGAUAUUAGGAGGAACACCAGUGGCGAAGGCGACUUUCUGGACUGUAACUGACGCUGAGGCGCGAAAGCGUGGGGAGCAAACAGGAUUAGAUACCCUGGUAGUCCACGCCGUAAACGAUGAGUGCUAGGUGUAGGGGGUAUCGACCCCUCCUGUGCCGCAGUUAACACAAUAAGCACUCCGCCUGGGGAGUACGGCCGCAAGGUUG
rnacentral:rRNA from 1 species